GGGCCCGUAGCUCAGCGGCAGAGCACUUGACUUUUAAUCAAGGUGUCGGGGGUUCGACUCCCCCCGGGCUCA
rnacentral:tRNA from 1 species